UUGGUGCCUUCGGGAACUCUGAGACAGGUGCUGCAUGGCUGUCGUCAGCUCGUGUUGUGAAAUGUUGGGUUAAGUCCCGCAACGAGCGCAACCCUUAUCCUUUGUUGCCAGCGGUUCGGCCGGGAACUCAAAGGAGACUGCCAGUGAUAAACUGGAGGAAGGUGGGGAUGACGUCAAGUCAUCAUGGCCCUUACGAGUAGGGCUACACACGUGCUACAAUGGCGUAUACAAAGAGAAGCGAACCUGCGAGGGCAAGCGGACCUCAUAAAGUACGUCGUAGUCCGGAUUGGAGUCUGCAACUCGACUCCAUGAAGUCGGAAUCGCUAGUAAUCGUAGAUCAGAAUGCUACGGUGAAUACGUUCCCGGGCCUUGUACACACCGCCCGUCACACCAUGGGAGUGGG
rnacentral:rRNA from 1 species